AUGUACGUUGAUAUCACUCUGAGAAUCGUUCUUCUGCUGCCGCUCAAUUUCGAAUGYACUGGUGUCACUCAGAAUUGUUAUUUAUAAGUUUCUAUUUUUAGAUUUUAGAAAGUUAGACAGAUGGAAAGUAARAAGAGGAGCACUGAAGAUGGAAAGGAAGAAGGAAAGUUAAUUCUCAGCCGCGUUCCACUUACGAAGAUGGAUUGUGCAAGAAGUCAAGAAACGGGCAUCAAGCAGAAAAUCCAAGUCUACAUUGUGAACAUCAGAACAAGGAGGCUUCCAAUAAAACAGAGCUCCAAAACAAAAAAAGGCAAAAGGAGAGAAGAAAUCAUUUAUUGAAGAUGAUUCUACUUGCAUUCUUUUAUGUCCUGUCAAUAACUUCCUGCUGCUGAAAAUGCUUAGACUGGAAUUUUUUUCCUGGUUUAAAUAUGCUUUUGUGCUUGGUAGAAAUAAAUGUUUCAUUCAUAGAAUAGAGAACUUUACAGUACACAUUAUUGAAGAUGUGGAAGUGGAAUUGCAAGGGACUUUUAAGUACAAAUGAACUGUUCAGUUAG